CACGGGGGGAGCAAGCGUUGUUCGGAAUCAUUGGGCGUAAAGCGCGUGUAGGCGGUCCGGUAAGUCCGCUGUGAAAGUCGGGGGCUCAACCCUCGGAUGCCGGUGGAUACUGUCGGGCUUGAGUACGGAAGAGGCGAGUGGAAUUCCUGGUGUAGCGGUGAAAUGCGCAGAUAUCAGGAGGAACACCAAUUGCGAAGGCAGCUCGCUGGGACGUUACUGACGCUGAGACGCGAAAGCGUGGGGAGCAAACAGG
rnacentral:rRNA from 1 species